rnacentral:rRNA from 1 species
CCUACGGGAGGCAGCAGUGGGGAAUCUUGCGCAAUGGGGGAAACCCUGACGCAGCAACGCCGCGUGGGUGAUGAAGGCCUUCGGGUCGUAAAGCCCUGUCAGGUGGGAAGAAACUUGUGGAUGUUAAUACCAUCCAUGCUUGACGGUACCACCGGAGGAAGCACCGGCUAACUCCGUGCCAGCAGCCGCGGUAAUACGGAGGGUGCAAGCGUUGUUCGGAAUUAUUGGGCGUAAAGCGCGUGUAGGUGGUCGUGUAAGUCAGAUGUGAAAGUCUUCUGCUUAACAGAAGAAGGGCAUUUGAAACUGCUCGACUAGAGUACGGGAGAGGAGAGUGGAAUUCCCGGUGUAGAGGUGAAAUUCGUAGAUAUCGGGAGGAACACCAGUGGCGAAGGCGGCUCUCUGGUCCGAUACUGACACUGAGACGCGAAAGCGUGGGGAGCAAACAGGAUUAGAUACCCUGGUAGUCCACGCCGUAAACGAUGGGCACUAGGUGUAGGAGGUAUUGACCCCUUCUGUGCCGAAGCUAACGCAUUAAGUGCCCCGCCUGGGGAGUACGGCCGCAAGGCUAAAACUCAAAGG